GCCACCAUAGCACAACUGGCAGUGCAACUGACUUGUAAUCAGGAGGUUGGAGGUUCGAUUCCUUCUGGUGGCACCA
rnacentral:tRNA from 1 species